rnacentral:rRNA from 1 species
GACGGAGGAUGCAAGUGUUAUCCGGAAUCACUGGGCGUAAAGCGUCUGUAGGUGGUUUUAAUAAGUCAACUGUUAAAUCUUGAGGCUCAACCUCAAAAUCGCAGUCGAAACUAUUAGGCUAGAGUAUAGUAGGGGUAAAGGGAAUUUCCAGUGGAGCGGUGAGAUGCGUAGAGAUUGGAAAGAACACCGAUGGCGAAGGCACUUUACUGGGCUAUUACUAACACUCAGAGACGAAAGCUAGGGUAGCAAAUGGG